rnacentral:rRNA from 1 species
UUGCAGGCUGCAACUCGCCUGCAUGAAGUCGGAAUUGCUAGUAAUCGUAGGUCAGCAUACUACGGUGAAUACGUUCCCGGGCCUUGUACACACCGCCCGUCAAACCAUGAGAGUUGGCAACACCCGAAGUCGGUAGUCUAACCGCAAGGAGGACGCCGCCGAAGGUGGGGUUGAUGAUUAGGGUUAAGUCGUAACAAGGUAGC